rnacentral:rRNA from 1 species
UACGAAGGGGGCUAGCGUUGCUCGGAAUCACUGGGCGUAAAGCGCACGUAGGCGGCUUUCUAAGUCAGGGGUGAAAUCCUGGAGCUCAACUCCAGAACUGCCUUUGAUACUGGAGAGCUCGAGUCCGGAAGAGGUGAGUGGAACUCCGAGUGUAGAGGUGAAAUUCGUAGAUAUUCGGAAGAGCACCAGUGGCGAAGGCGGCUCACUGGUCCGGUACUGACGCUGAUGUGCGAAAGCGUGGGGAGCAAACAGG